UCUUGGUGCGUGGAUACACAUAGUUGAUCUAAAUCAACAAACUCAGUAUUAGAUAAUUGUUGUUAAAUCUUUCGAAUUUGUUGGAAAAGUCAUCAAUGUAUCAGAAGUUUGUUUUCAAUGGAGAAAAUAUGUAGAAACAUAAGCUCCGAUUGACAUUUUUACCAAUAAAAUCUCACAGAACCUAGGUUUCGAUCAACAUUUUUCUGAAGAUAAGCAACCUUGGAAGGCAAACAACAUACAUCCUGC
rnacentral:lncRNA from 1 species